rnacentral:rRNA from 1 species
AUACAGGGGGUGCAAGCGUUGUUCGGAAUUACUGGGCGUAAAGGGAGCGUAGGCGGAUCUACAAGACAGUGGUUAAAUCUCCGGGCUCAACCUGGAACUUGCCCUUGUGACUGUGGAUCUUGAGUAUGGUAGAGGUUGGCGGAAUCUCCGGUGUAGCGGUGGAAUGCGUAGAGAUCGGAAAGAACACCAGAGGCGAAGGCGGCCAACUGGACCAAUACUGACGCUGAGGCUCGAAAGCGUGGGGAGC